GACAGAGGUGCCGAGCGUUAGGCGGAAUCACUGGGCUUAAAGCGUGUGUAGGCGGAUCGUUAAGUACCUUGUGAAAUCCCCCGGCUCAACCGGGGAACUGCUGGGUACACUGGCGAUCUUGAGCGAUCUAGGGGCAGAUGGAACAAGUGGUGGAGCGGUGAAAUGCGUAGAUAUCGCUUGGAACGCCGAAGGUGAAAACAGGUUGCUGGGGUUGUGCCGACGCUGAGACACGAAAGCCAGGGGAGCAAACGGG
rnacentral:rRNA from 1 species